rnacentral:rRNA from 1 species
AGUCGAGCGCGAAAACACUUCGGUGUGAGUAGAGCGGCGGACGGGUGAGUAAUGCUUGGGAAUCUGCCCAGUAGUGGGGGAUAACGUGUGGAAACGCACGCUAAUACCGCAUACGUCCUACGGGAGAAAGCAGGGGAUCUUCGGACCUUGCGCUAUUGGAUGAGCCCAAGUCGGAUUAGCUAGUUGGUGGGGUAAUGGCCUACCAAGGCGACGAUCCGUAGCUGGUCUGAGAGGAUGAUCAGCCACACUGGGACUGAGACACGGCCCAGACUCCUACGGGAGGCAGCAGUGGGGAAUAUUGCACAAUGGGCGAAAGCCUGAUGCAGCCAUGCCGCGUGUGUGAAGAAGGCUCUAGGGUUGUAAAGCACUUUCAGUAGGGAGGAAAAGCUUAAGGUUAAUAACCUUGAGCCCUGACGUUACCUACAGAAGAAGCACCGGCAAACUCCGUGCCAGCAGCCGCGGUAAUACGGAGGGUGCGAGCGUUAAUCGGAAUUACUGGGCGUAAGGCGCGCGUAGGUGGUUUGAUAAGCUAGCUGUGA